GAGCCAUUAGCUCAGUUGGUAGAGCACCUGACUUUUAAUCAGGGUGUCGAAGGUUCAAGUCCU
rnacentral:tRNA from 1 species